rnacentral:rRNA from 1 species
AUUGAACGCUAGCGGGAUGCUUUACACAUGCAAGUCGAACGAGUGGCGGACGGGUGAGUAAUAUCUCGGAACGUGCCCAGUGGCGGGGGAUAACUACUCGAAACAGUGGCUAAUACCGCAUACUAUUGGAUGUGCCGAUAUGGGAUUAGCUAGUUGGUGGGGUAAAGGCUCACCAAGGCAACGAUCCCUAGCUGGUCUGAGAGGACGACCAGCCACACUGGGACUGAGACACGGCCCAGACUCCUACGGGAGGCAGCAGUGGGGAAUAUUGGACAAUGGGGGAAACCCUGAUGCAGCCAUCCCGCGUGUAUGAGAAGGCCUUCGGGUUGUAAAGUACUUUCGGCAGAGAAGCGGUAUCUGCAGAAUAAGCACCGGCUAACUACGUGCCAGCAGCCGCGGUAAUUC